rnacentral:rRNA from 1 species
UACGUAGGGGGCUAGCGUUGUCCGGAAUCAUUGGGCGUAAAGAGCGUGUAGGCGGCCCGGUAAGUCCGCUGUAAAAGUCAAAGGCUCAACCUUUGAAUGUCAGUGGAUACUGCCGGGCUAGAGUCCGGAAGAGGCGAGUGGAACUCCUGGUGUAGCGGUGGAAUGCGCAGAUAUCAGGAAGAACACCAAUGGCGAAGGCAGCUCUCUGGGACGGUACUGACGCUGAGACGCGAAAGCGUGGGGAGCGAACAGG